CCUACGGGAGGCAGCAGUGAGGAAUAUUGGUCAAUGGACGAGAGUCUGAACCAGCCAAGUAGCGUGAAGGAUGACUGCCCUAUGGGUUGUAAACUUCUUUUAUAUGGGAAUAAAAUGUUCCACGUGUGGGAUUUUGUAUGUACCAUAUGAAUAAGGAUCGGCUAACUCCGUGCCAGCAGCCGCGGUAAUACGGAGGAUCCGAGCGUUAUCCGGAUGUAUUGGGUUUAAAGGGAGCGUAGGUGGAUUGUUAAGGCAGUUGUGAAAGUUUGCGGCUCAACCGUAAAAUUGCAGUUGAAACUGGCAGUCUUGAGUACAGUAGAGGUGGGCGGAAGUCGUGGUGUAGCGGUGAAAUGCUUAGAUAUCACGAAGAACUCCGAUUGCGAAGGCAGCUCACUGGACUGCAACUGACACUGAGGCUCGAAAGUGUGGGUAUCAAACAGGAUUAGAUACCCUAGUAGUC
rnacentral:rRNA from 1 species